rnacentral:rRNA from 1 species
GAUGAACGCUGGCGGCGUGCUUAACACAUGCAAGUCGAACGGAAAGGCCCUGCUGUUGUGGGGUGCUCGAGUGGCGAACGGGUGAGUAACACGUGAGUAACCUGCCCUUGACUUUCGGAUAAAUCUAGGGAACUGGGGCUAAUACCCGAUAGGAGCUCCUGAUGCACGGUGGGGGUUGGAAAGUUUCGGCGGUUGGGGAUGGACUAGCGGCUUAUCAGCUUGUUGGUGGGGUAGUGGCUUACCAAGGCUUUGACGGGUAGCCGGCCUGAGAGGGUGACCGGCCACAUUGGGACUGAGAUACGGCCCAGACUCCUACGGGAGGCAGCAGUGGGGAAUAUUGCACAAUGGGCGGAAGCCUGAUGCAGCAACGCCGCGUGCGGGAUGACGGCCUUCGGGUUGUAAACCGCUUUCGCCUGUGACGAAGCGUGAGUGACGGUAAUGGGUAAAGAAGCACCGGCUAACUACGUG